rnacentral:rRNA from 1 species
UCUGGCAGUGGCGGACGGGUGAGUAACGCGUAGGUAUCUAUCUUUGGGUGGGGGACAACCGUGGGAAACUACGGCUAAUACCGCAUGACGACCGAGGUCCAAAGGCGCAAGUCGCCUGGGGAGGAGCCUGCGUCCGAUUAGCUUGUUGGUGGGGUAACGGCCUACCAAGGCGACGAUCGGUAGCUGGUCUGAGAGGAUGAUCAGCCACACUGGGACUGAGACACGGCCCAG